GUAGGGAAUAUUGGGCAAUGGAUGCAAGUCUGACCCAGCCAUGCCGCGUGGAGGAAGAAGGUCCUCUGGAUUGUAAACUCCUUUUUUGGGGGAAGAAUAGUUCUCUUGCGAGGGAAUGUGACGGUACCCUAAGAAUAAGCCACGGCUAACUACGUGCCAGCAGCCGCGGUAAUACGUAGGUGGCAAGCGUUGUCCGGAUUUAUUGGGUUUAACGGGUGCGUAGGUGGUUUGAUAAGUAAGUGGUGAAAGCUGGUUGCUCAACAAUCAAGUUGCCAUUGAUACUGUCGGAAGUGAGAGAAGUGGAGGGUCAUGGAAUGGAUGGUGUAGCGGUGAGAUGCAUAGAUAUCAUCCAGAACGUCGAUUGCGAAGGCAGUGGGCUGUACUUUAUCUGACACUGAGGCACGAAAGUGUGGGGAUCAAACAGGAUUAGAAACCCUGGUAGUCC
rnacentral:rRNA from 1 species